GACCUUGGUGCCGACGAGUGGCGGACGGGUGAGUAAUACUUAGGAAUCUGCCCAGUAGUGGGGGCAAACAUUCGGAAACGGAUGCUAAUACCGCAGUACGCCCGUACGGGGAAAGCGGGGGAUCGUUCGGACCUCGCGCUAUUGGAUGAGCCUAAGUCGGAUUAGCUUGUUGGUGAGGUAACGGCUCACCAAGGCGACGAUCCGUAGCGUGGUCUGAGAGGACGAUCAGCCACACGUGGGACUGAGACGACCGGCCCAGACUCCGUACGGGAGGCAGCAGGUGGGAAUAGUUGGACAAGUGGGGCAACCCUGAUCCAGCAAUGCCGCGUGUGUGAAGAAGGCCUGCGGGUUGUAAAGCACUUUCAGUAGAGAAGAAAGCCUAGGGUUAAUACCCCUGAGUCUUGACGUAACCUACAGAAGAAGCACCGGCUAACUCCGUG
rnacentral:rRNA from 1 species